UACAGAGGUCCCAAGCGUUGUUCGGAUUCAUUGGGCGUAAAGGGUGCGUAGGUGGCGCGGUAAGUCGGGUGUGAAAUCUCGGAGCUUAACUCCGAAAUUGCAUUCGAUACUGCCGUGCUCGAGGACUGGAGAGGAGACUGGAAUUCAUGGUGUAGCAGUGAAAUGCGUAGAGAUCAUGAGGAAGACCAGUGGCGAAGGCGGAUCUCUGGACAGCUCCUGACGCUGAGGCGCGAAGGCUAGAGGAG
rnacentral:rRNA from 1 species